GUACUUACUCCUACGGGAGGCAGCAGUGGGGAAUUUUGGACAAUGGGGGAAACCCUGAUCCAGCAAUGCCGCGUGAGUGAAGAAGGCCUUCGGGUUGUAAAGCCCUUUUGUCAGGGAAGAAACGGUAGUAGCUAAUAUCUAUUACUAAUGACGGUACCUGAAGAAUAAGCACCGGCUAACUACGUGCCAGCAGCCGCGGUAAUACGUAGGGUGCAAGCGUUAAUCGGAAUUACUGGGCGUAAAGCGUGCGGAGGCGGUUGUGUAAGUCAGAUGUGAAAUACCCGGGCUAAACCUGGGAAUUGCAGUUGAGACUGCACGGCUAGAGUGUGUGAGAGGGAGGGUAGAAUUCCGCGUGUAGCAGUGAAAUGCGUAGAUAUGUGGAGGAAUACCGAUGGCGAAGGCAGCCCCCUGGGAUAACACUGACGCUCAUGCACGAAAGCGUGGGGAGCAAACAGGAUUAGAAACCCCUGUAGUCCAGGCAU
rnacentral:rRNA from 1 species